rnacentral:lncRNA from 1 species
CUUGUUCUUAGUACUACCUCCAUGAUCCCACACUCCUAAUCAUAUGAGCUAAAAUAGUACACAUUCAAUCAUUGAGAGAUAUAAAGAAAAAGACAUAUACAUAGAUAGAUUAUCUUUCCAUAAGGUUGAGCGAUCUGAUCCGACAAAUGUUAUAAGUGCUACACUCAUGAACUUUUCAUCUAUCAACUUUGUCUUGCUCACUAUGCUUAGGGUUAGAGAAGAAUAAAUACACUUUAGGUUCUGUUGGUGUUUUCCACCAACAGGACCCAUGCACUUGAUCUCUGCCUUGUCUCUAUGAGCAGGUACACUUCGAGCAAAACACGGAGGAGUUUUAUAACUCUCAGACUCUACCAAGUGAAGGACCUGGAUCUACAAGCACAAACACACUGAGCAGGAUACUGCCAACGCCGCACUUCGAACUGCUGGGCAAACGAAGAACGUGGGUGACACCGUAUCAAGAGGUGCAGACGUCAAGGUCCGCACCUAAAUCAAAUGACGCACCUGAAGAAUGAACACAGUGAAAAGUCUUGUCAAGAAGACUUAAAACAUUGAACCCUCGCCGAAAGGUAAGAUCGGUAGUUAUCCAUAUUUAUCCCUUCUGAAUUCUCUUUUCCCUUUAAUUAUUUACUUUCCUUAAAUAGAUUAUUAGUUAAUCAUGCUAUCUUGAAACGAAAAUAAAAAUGUUAAAAAAUACUAAGCCCCAUGUGAGUAUACGAGUGGCAUAAAACCCAUAAGUACCUUCACUAUGGUGGCAUAAAAAUAAAAUAAAUAUUUCUUUUCUGCUUUAUAAAAUAAAAAUAUAAAAACAGGGAGUAAUAUUUAUUGAGGAAGCUCAACAUGAUGAAAGCUAGAUAUUUAUGCUAACACUUAAUUAGUUCCACAAGCUUUGUUCUCUAUUUGAGCUCCACAGAAUUUAAGAAUCAAGAAGACUAGCAGACGGAGGACAUUCUAAUCGCUGUCAGAAUGUUGCUGACUUUCAAAUACACCUCUGCCACCUGCUAGCUACAUCAAGAGAAAUUACGUCAAAAUUCAGCUUGGGGGAGAGCACCCCCAUUUAUCUCGCUAAGUAUUUCUACCUAUCUUUAUACUUAUAUUAUAUUAGAAUAUUAAAAUACAUAAACUAUGAAAAACCAAAUAAAGAUUUUGUGCUUAUAUAUAUAUAUAUCUUUUGCUUAGCGUGUUUAAUAAAUAAAUAAAGUGGCUAUGCUAAUCUGAAUCUUAAUAAUAAAACUCUAGCAUGGAUAUGAUGAAUAGUUGCUCUGCCAUGACUAGUUCUCAAAAAUUGAAUUCUAUCUCAAGUUUACGCAUGACUGUUAUGAAUUAAGAUUUGCUCUAAACCUGAACUUGUGGGAAGAGUACUUGAUCUAAAGUCUAAGUCGUUAACGGAUAUGAUAUGGGAAGGUUGAGUUGCUAUUUAUCUGUUCCUAGAGAUGCUAGAAAUCUGGAGAAUUUUAUCUUUGAAAAUCAUUAAAAUAUUGCAUGAUGAGUUCCUGUAUGAUGGGAGUUUAAAAUCCUACCACAGCCAUAUAUAUAUGCUUAUUAGACUAUGAACCAUACAUUUACUUUUUACUGCUUAUGAGCAUUGAGUGUGGUCAAGCUGUUUAGACCCUUAGGAGCUUGUCAUAUGGUUAAAUCAAGAUCCACUUGCACGUUCACUCAUACAUGCUGCUACUACUCUGGAAGUACGCAUCCACAUACAUCCACUCAUUUCCAUCUCCAGAUUCACCCAAAAAUAUUCUACUCCUAAUCCGGGAGAGAAUAGCCAAAAAUAUUUCUGUUUUCCCUUGUGAAAUAAAUGCUCAAGUUAUCUUGCUACUACCACUUGCUAUAUUAUCUCAAGAGAUGAGUGCUCUGAAAAGAAAAAAAAGAGAGAAAAGAGAAGGAAAAAAAUAAAAAAAAUAAUAAAAAAACGAGGAAAUAAAAAGAGGCAAGUGCCUGGAACCUCGAAAGAAAGAAAAAGUGAGACGAGAGGUAAAAAUGGACAAGUGUCCGACAGUAGAAUUAGGGGUACAAGAUACCCACCUGAGAGGAAAGAAAAAGAAAAGCAUCUCAUUCUCCUCAUAAAGUUUCAAAAAGCAAGGAAGGUAUGUAUCCCCUCAAAAGAGCAAAAGUAGAAUUAGACUUUCACCAUUGUUAUCACCAUCAUCACCAUACACCAUUCAUUCGCCACACAUGAACAUCUUGAUUUGGCUUAUUGAUUUGUUUCUUUGGAUCCAUGGUUUGACUAUACAAUAAAUGUCUUGUAAGUAUGUAUACUUUAUCUCCCACCUAUGAGCUCCAGAUAUUAAAGCCUUAUUAGAGUAGGGUGAGAGGGAAGGCAAUGUCACUAUGCCUUAUACCACAAAUACCACAUAUCUUGAGAGAAGGCAUAUACCAUCACUGCCUUGGUAAGGAUCCAGAAAUACCACAAAAGAGAGAUUUAGAGAGUCAUACAAGGAAUCUCUGAGUUUUAUUUGAAAAUCUGCAAAAACUCCAGAGCUAUAGCUGAUCAAGAAUAAGAGACAUGGCACUUGGCUAGACUGUUCUAUCUUUUAACUACUCAAGACAGAAGUGACGGUUACAAGUCCCAUGGUGAAAGGUAAAGUAAGUAAGUUUUAGUUCUUGACAGUUUACUCUAACUCAGAGAUGAGAUCUUAUUUAAAAGCAAUUUGUACCGUCAAAUUUUUAAGAUAUUGUAACAAGUUCUAAUCCAUUGCUGAGUCUAUCCUUGCUCAGGGACGAGCAAGAGGUAAGCUUGGGGGAGUUUGUUGACGGUCCUUAAGUACCAAAUAUAAUCAUCAAAUAAACAAAGAAAAUGAUCCAAAUGAAAUCAACAUCUAGACUUAGGGUUUUAUCUGACAGAAUUCCACAAGUUUUGGUGUUUGUCUAUUUCUGCAAGGGGUUAUCAGGAAAUAUGGAAGAAAGGCCCACACAUCGGGAUUACAUAGAGAUAUCAAUGUGCCGCGCAAUUAUCUUACAUCUAGAAGACUCCAGAUGCCACGGGAAGGAAGCGGAGGCCGAACGUGGCCAGAGGCAGGGCGCCCGCCCUCCUGCCGAGCCCAAUCAGGAUUCUCUUUCGGGACGAUGUUCCACCGACCUAAAGGAUCAAGAAUUCCCGUUCAAUCAAUGUCGGUUUGAUCCGACGGCCUAGGUUCACUUGAGGGGACUAUAUAACCAGACCCCCUGGCCCCUGGAAGAGGCACCCCUUGAUCAUUAUUCAUUAUUCAUAGACAGAGCAAAAGCUAGGGUUUAGAGAUGAGAGCUCUCCUCUCUUCUCUAAACUAGAGUAGAUCUAGAUAGUAGCAAGAUGGAGAGCGAGGGUGGAUUGGAGGAGAGGCCGGACUGUCGGUUCUUCCUCUGGUUGUACUUCAUCAUGAUCAAGCUCUAAUCAAGCUUGCUCAUGGGAUGACUCUAGUAAUCUACUUCUAAUUCAUUAUGCAAUUACUAAUUAUGUAUGUUCUGGUUCACAACUCUUUUAAGUAUUCUAAUCUAUAGGACGCUAUAGGUGAGAGUUGUAGUAUAGGUGUAAGCGAGGUGCUUAGAUCUAGAUUACUUGUGGAUAUCCCCUGUCUAGCUGGAUCGUGUGGUAGGCCGCGUAGGUGACAGUUACGUUGGUCCUCUGUAGUCCACCUCUCGUUAGAAGGACGGGUAGGGUUUAUCGGCCUAAGGAUAAGCAUCCUUUGUGGUGUACUCUUAUCACAUGGUUCGUCCCAGACAUAGACAUACCCCUUUGAAGUAGAGAAACCAUAGUUAUUAUCUCUAUUCUGCUACUAUCGCCCAUAUACUAGAAUUGCUCUAUUCUCUAUUCCCAUAUUAUCACUCACUGUUAUCUUACCUUUAAUAUUGUUCUUAUUCGAUUCUACCAUCUUUCCUAUUUACACUUAUUUACUUAUCUUGGUCAAGUUAGAGCGUAGAUUAGUUCUCCCGUUUCCCUAUGGAUACGAUAAAACCUUUAACCGGGUAAAAGCUAUAACGGUAUCCAUGCGCUUGCGGAUUAUCUGUGUGCGUAUAAAUACCAUAGUACACUCUAGUGCCAUGCUGGGGAUGACAACCUAGUAUUCAAGUGGUGUUAGCAAGUGUCAACAGCCACCACAUCAAUUAGACAUCUAGAUUAGCAUAGCUACAUAGGAUUAGAACUAGAAGGAGUCAAUCUUCGAUUGGUUUCCGGAUCUGUCAAGAGGAUUCUUGGUAAUUAUCUAAUUGUUCUUCUAAUUGUUCUUCUAAUCAUCUUUGUUCUUCAAUGUUAUGAAUAUGACUUUGUUCUACUUCAAUAUAUUGCUUAUGACUUUGCUCUACUUAUUUAUAAUCAAGAUUAUAUUGUUCUUAGUUUAUCAUAGUUAUGUACUUGGCUUAGUUAGAUUGGAUCUAUAUACAUGUUUAGCAUCGUAUAGCGUUUAUCCAUCGGAUCCAUGGGUAAAUGAUAGAUAUUGUGUAGGCAUGGUGCUUAUACCGUAUUUAUCUGCGAUUCUACCCAAUAUGCCAGAUCGUGGGGUAGUUCGUGAUAGUGACAGCUUCAUUGAUUCUUAUAUAGUCCCCCUCUCGUGUAUUGGGCUGGCAGAGCAACAUUAUUAUAGGGGAGUGAUUGCUAUGUUUCUCAUUUACCUUGCUAAUAUCACUAUGCAUGGGCGUAGUCUUGUCUCGCAAUGAUUGCUAAGUAUGCUUGCACUAACUAUGAUAAUGCUAAACUAUAUAGUUGAGAAUAACUUAGGAAAUAUUCUUGUAGUUCGUUCUAAUACCAUGCUAAUGACUUUCUAGAGUAUCUAAUUGAGGUGCUUAUCAUAUUUAUAUGUGGCUGAUCAGAUUAAUUAUCUUUGUCACUAUUCAUUACUUCAUAUAUCUUUUAUGUGACACUUAUCACUGUAUGAAAGAGUUAGAUAAAUGUUCUCAAUUAUAUAUGCAAUGAUAGAUACUCAAUCUCAUAUUCUAUUCUGUAAUCAAUAUUGAUGAUUGUUAAUCCCUUCCCAGUGGUAAAAAUAUAAAUAACGAUACCUGGAAUACUUCCCGGUUAAAAUGCUACAUCGGUAUUAAUCUGUGCGCUUGCAGAUCCCAUUCCUUAUCUAUUAUUUAUUUAGAAGAGCAAUUGCAUAUUUCAAUACCGCGUCUCUCAUGUCAUGCUGGGGAUGACAACUUGGCUUAAGUGGUAUGAGGGAUAGGUUUGGCAUUUUUGGCACCGUUACUAGAAUUAGAAAGCUGUCUACUUUUGGUAAUAAUGUUAAGAAUACCCAACAAGCAUUUUUUGGCGCCGUUGCUGGGGAAGGUUGAUUACUAAUCAAGAAUGGAUAUAGAUUUUGAGUUAUCAUUUGCAUCACUAAUAUGAUUGAGCUUAUUAAUUCUCUCAUACAGUUUUACCCUGAUAUUUUCCUAUUUUAUCUUAUGCAGGGGAAUGUAUGAAUAGAAGACAUCUUCCAGGAAAUUUUGUUGACAAUCCCGAAGCGUUAUUCAAGAAGACAAGAGCCAAGCUCAAGAAGAGAUCAUCAACACUUCAACAAGAAGCUUGAUCCAAUCAAGAAGAUCACCGGAACUUGUCUUCAGAGUUCGAAGCCAUGGCGAACAAAUCAAUCCACGAGUUCUCAGCUCCCACUACGGACAACAUCCGCACUGGACCUGCUGCAGAGAUCGACGGAAACUUUGAGCUAAAGCCUAGACUUAUCAACAUGGUGCAAUCCAACCAGUUCUGUGGGAAGGCACAUGAAGAUGCUAGUGCUCAUCUCCAACACUUCCUGGAGAUUUGCAGUACAUUUACCAUAUCAGGAGUUUCCAGAGAUGCUAUACUGCUUCGCCUCUUCCCAUUCUCACUGUUAGGAAGAGCGAAGCAGUGGUUCUACGCUACAAAGGAGAAGAAUACUACGCGGGCACUCUGCUCAACAAACUUCUUGGCUAAGUUCUUUCCCGUGGGCAAGACCAAUGCUCUCCGUGGGAAGAUUACAAGUUUUUAGUAACAAAAUGAUGAAUCCGUUCUAGAAGCAUGGGAGCGCUUUCAAGACAACAUCCUAGAAUGUCCCCAUCAUGGAAUGGAGAGUUGGCUACUAAUGCAGACAUUUUAUCAUGGGCUCGGCAAUAGUGCCCGAGAAACCAUGGAUGCUGCAGCUAGAGGAGCAUUUUUAUCACUUACUAUACCACAAGCCACAACUCUUGUGGAGAAGAUGGCGUCCAACCAAGGCUGGAAUGAUGAGAGGACCCAGACACGCAAGAGAGGUGGAGGUAUGCAUCAGCUCAAGGAGGUAGACAUGCUGUCUGCAAAGCUAGACCUACUCAUGAAGAAGCUCGAUGAUAGAGCUGGAGAUAAGAAAGAAGUUAUGCACAUCUACGACUCUCACAUGACUUGUGAGGAGUGUGGAGAUACUGGACACUCAGGCAAUCACUGCCCUGAGAUGCUUGAGGAUGUGAACUACAUCAACAGUAACAACAAUAACUACUACAACCGUCCUCAACAAAAUCAAGGUUGGAAUCAACAGAGGCCUAACUACUCAGGUAAUUAUCAAGGUAACAAUUCUUACAACAAUAAUAAUAAUUUUCCACCUCCGAGAGAGUUAGUGUCUAAUCAAGGAAAGCUAAUGGAUAACCUAUCUAAGAAAUUGGCAUCUAAUGAUAUAAUGCUAGAAAAUAUAAAUAAUAGAAUGGAUAAUUUCUCUACUGCCAUCAAGAAUCAAAUUAGCUUUAAUAAAAUGAUUGAAUCUCAGUUAAAUCAAAUAGCUGCUACAGUUCCUACUACUAACCCCGGUAUACCAUCACAACCGGAAGGAUUAGAAUCUACAAAUCUUGUAGACAUGUUUGAUGCAGGUAAUAACUAGAGUAACCCCGUCACUGAAUUCUACACUGACCUUCUACUGGUCAAGAGAGGCGAUCCAGGACGCCCCGUCAUCCCGAUCUCCAUCGGCAUGGUGGACAUCCCAGAAGCACUCUGCGACUUUGGCUCUAGCGUCAACAUUAUGCCCAGGGUACUCUAUGAAAAAUUCUUUACAUAUCCUUUAUUAGAGACAACCAUGUGUUUGCAGUUUGCAGAUCAGGCAUUAAGUUUUCCAAAAGGAAUAUUGAAGAACCUUUGUGUCCGAGUUGGUACCUUGUAUGCCCUAGCAGACUUCGUGGUGAUAGAGACCGGUAAUGAUGAGAGAGCACCCAUCAUCUUAGGGAGGCCAUUCUUAAACACCUCGGGAGCUGUCAUCUAGACGUGAAUCAAGGAAGAGGACCAACAGGAGGAACAGGAACAAGCAAGUGUGGACCGAGUCAGCUAAGAUGAUCACUGCAGUUCAUGGAGGCCAAGAUCAUCAACUUAAGUCACCAUUUUUGACCAAGAAGGACGACCCAGGAAUGCCAAGCAUCUACUGCUCCAUAAAUGGAUACAGCUUCUACAAGACGACUUGUGACACCGGAUCGGGCGUCAACAUAAUGGCCGCAGUCACCUAUCGGCUCUUGUUCGGAACCAUGCCCCUAAGACCAACAUACAUUCAGCUCCAGAUGGCAGAUCAGACAUUUCGAGAAGUUAAAGGAACAGUAACUGAUGUCCCAAUCAAAAUAGACGAUCAUUUUGUCUACACAGACUUUCAGGUUAUUGACAUGAGAGAAGAUGAAUACGAUCCACCCAUCAUCCUUGGAAGACCGUUCCUCAGCACCGUUAAAGCAAUCAUCUACAUUGGAACUGGAGAAGUCCAUAUGCACUUCGCCUCAGUGAAGGUACGCCAUUAUUUUACUGACCCUAACUAUAUCGUUGAAGAAUCUAAGCAGGUAAGAAAACGACGCAACCGCAACCAGAGGAGGCAGAUCAUCAAGGACGGAUGGGCAGACUAUGAAGGAGAAGUGGUAAGGUCAGAAGACGUAGAGUUUAAACAGAAUUAUCCAGAGAAGACCGUAGCAUCGAGUCAGGUAUGGAAAGAGAAGAUAACUAUACAUGAAGAAGAGGCGCUACCGGAAGUACCGACAACGCCACCCAACGAAUCCCAGGACAAUUGAAGAAAGAGGAGAAUCCCGUUCGGAGGACUUAAAAACACCGAACGUCUUGCCAAGAGGUAAACUUGGUAGUUAUCCUUUCCCUUUCAAUUAUUUUAAACAGUUUGCUUAGUUAAUCAUGUUCAUGCUAUCCUAAAAAGAAAAUAAAAAUGUGAAAAAUAGUAAGCCCCAUGUGAGUAUACAUGUGGCAUAAAACCCAUAAGUACAUUCACUAUGGUGGCAUAAAAAUAAAAUAAAUAUUUUCUGCUCUAUAAAACGAAAAUAUAAAAACAGGAAGUAAUAUUUAUUAAGGAGGCUCAACAUGAUAAAGGCUAGAUAUUUAUGCUAACACUUAAUCCGUUCCACAAGCUUUGUUGUCUAUUUGAGCUCCACAGAAUUUAAGAAUCAAGAAGACUAGCAGACGGAGGACAUUCUAAUCGCUGUCAGAAUGCUGCUGACUUUCAAAUACACCUCUGCCACCUGCUAGCUACAUCAAGAGAAAUUACGUCAAAAUUCAGCUUGGGGGAGAGCACCCCCAUUUAUCCCGCUAAGUAUCUCUAUCUAUCUUUCUUUAUACUUAUACUAUAUUAAAAUAUAGAUAUACAUAAUUAUGGAAAAACAAAUAAAGAUUUUAUGUUUAUAUAUAUCUCUUUUGCUUAGUGUGUUUAAUAAAUAAAUAAAGUGGCUAUGCUAAUCUGUAUCUAAAUAAAACUCUAGCAUGGAUAUGAUGAAUAGUUGCUCUGCCUAAUUUGCAAUUUUAAGUUCUCUCACUAGUUUAGAUAUAACUGUUAUAAUUUAAAGCUUGCUCUAAACCUAAAUUUGUGGGAUGAAAACUUGAUCUGAAGUCUAAGUUGUUAACGAAUAUGAUAUGGGAAGGUUGAGCUGCUGUUUAUCUAUUCCUAGAGAUGCUAGAAUUCUGGAGAAUUUUAUCUUUGAAAAUCUUUAAAAUAUUACAUGAUGAGUUCCUGUAUGAUGAGAGUUUAAAUUCCUACUACAGCCAUAUAUACAUGCUUGCUAGACUUUGAGCCACACAUUUAUUUUACUGCUUAUGAGCAUUGAGUGUGGUAAAGCUGUGUAGACCCUUAGGAGCUUGUCAUGUGGUUAAAUCAAGAUUUCACUUGCACGUACACUCAUAUAUGCUACUUCUACUCCGGAAGUACCAUCCGCAUAUAUCCACCCAUUUCCAUCUCCAGAAUCACCCAAAAAUAUUCUACUCCUAAUCCGGGAGAGAAUAGCCAAAUUUUUUUUUGUUUUUCCCUUAUAAAAUAAAUGCUCCAGUUAUCUUGUUACUACCACUUGCUAUAUUAUCUCAAGAGAUGAGUGCUCUAAAAAAAGAGAGAAAAAAAGAAAUAAAAAAAUACGAGGAAAUAAAAAGGGACAAGUGCCCGGAACCUCGAAAGAAAAGAAAAAGUGAGACGAGAGGUAAAAAUGGACAAGUGUCCGACAGUAGAAUUAGGGGUACAAGAUACCCACCUGAGAGAAAAGAAAAAGAUAGAGCAUCUCAUUCUCCUCACUAUUCAAAAAGCAAGGAAGGUAUGUAUCCCCUCAAAUGAGCAAAAGUAGAAUUAGACUUUCACCAUUGUUAUCACCAUCAUCACCAUACACCAUUCAUUCGCCACACAUGCACAUCUUGGUUUGACUUAAUGAUUUGUUUCUUUGGAUCCAUGGUUUGACUAUGCAAUAAAUGUUUUGUAAGUAUGUAUAUUUUAUCUCCCACCUAUGAACUCCAGAUAUUAAAGCCUUAUUAGAGUAGGGUGAGAGAGAAGGCAAUGUCACUAUGCCUUAUACCACAAAUACCACAUAUAUUAAGAGAAGGCAUAUGCCAACACUGCCUUGGUAAUGAUCCAGAAAUACCACAAAAGAGAGAUUUGAGAGAGUCAUACAAGGAAUCUCAGAGUUUUAUUUGAAAAUCUGCAAAAAAACUCUAGAGCUAUAGCUGAUCAAGAAUAAGAGACAUGGCACUUGACUAGACUGUUCUAUCUUUUAACUACUCAAGAUAGAAGUGACGGUUACAAGUCCCAUGGUGAAAGGUAAAGUAAGUAAGUUUUAAGUCUUGACAGUUUACUCUAACUCAGAGAUGAUAUCUUAUUUAAAAAGCAUGUGUACCGUCCAAUUUUUAAAAGUAUUGCAGCAACUUCUAAUCUAUCCUUGCUUAGGGACGAGCAAGAGGUAAGCUUGGGGGAGUUUGUUGACGGUCCUUAAGUAUCAUAUUUAAGAAUCAAAUAAACAAAGAAAAGGAUCCAAAUGAAAUCAACAUCUAGACUUAGGGUUUUAUCUGACAGAAUUCCAUGAGUUUUGGUGUUUGUCUAUUUCUACAGGGGGUUAUCGGGAAAUACGGAAGAAAGGCCCACACAUCGGGAUUACAUAGAGAUAUUAACAUGCCGCACAAUUAUCUUACAUCUCGAAGACUCCAGAAGCCAC